CGUAGAGUUUGAUCCUGGCGUCAGAGUGAACGCUGGCGGUAGGCCUAACACAUGCAAGUCGAACGGCAGCACAGGAGAGCUUGCUCUCUGGGUGGCGGAGUGGCGGACGGGUGAGGAAUACAUCGGAAUCUACUCUGGUCGUGGGGGAUAACGUAGGGAAACUUACGCUAAUACCGCAUACGACCUACGGGUGAAAGCAGGGGACCUUCGGGCCUUGCGCGAUUGAAUGAGCCGAUGUCGGAUUAGCUAGUUGGCGGGGUAAAGGCCCACCAAGGCGACGAUCCGUAGCUGGUCUGAGAGGAUGAUCAGCCACACUGGAACUGAGACACGGUCCAGACUCCUACGGGAGGCAGCAGUGGGGAAUAUUGGACAAUGGGCGCAAGCCUGAUCCAGCCAUACCGCGUGGGUGAAGAAGGCCUUCGGGUUGUAAAGCCCCUUUGUUGGGAAAGAAAUCCAGCUGGCUAAUACCCGGUUGGGAUGACGGUACCCAAAGAAUAAGCACCGGCUAACUUCGUG
rnacentral:rRNA from 1 species